AGAGUUUGAUCCUGGCUCAGGAUGAACGCUAGCUACAGGCUUAACACAUGCAAGUCGAGGGGAAACGGCAUUGAGUGCUUGCACUCUUUGGACGUCGACCGGCGCACGGGUGAGUAACGCGUAUCCAACCUUCCCAUUACUGUGGGAUAACCUGCCGAAAGGCAGACUAAUACCGCAUAGUCUUCGAUGACGGCAUCAGAUUUGAAGUAAAGAUUUAUUGGUAAUGGAUGGGGAUGCGUCUGAUUAGCUUGUUGGCGGGGUAACGGCCCACCAAGGCGACGAUCAGUAGGGGUUCUGAGAGGAAGGUCCCCCACAUUGGAACUGAGACACGGUCCAAACUCCUACGGGAGGCAGCAGUGAGGAAUAUUGGUCAAUGGACGGAAGUCUGAACCAGCCAAGUAGCGUGCAGGAUGACGGCCCUAUGGGUUGUAAACUGCUUUUAUGUGAGAAUAAAGUUAGGUAUGUAUACUUAUUUGCAUGUAUCACAUGAAUAAGGACCGGCUAAUUCCGUGCCAGCAGCCGCGGUAAUACGGAAGGUCCAGGCGUUAUCCGGAUUUAUUGGGUUUAAAGGGAGCGUAGGCCGUGGAUUAAGCGUGUUGUGAAAUGUAGACGCUCAACGUCUGAAUUGCAGCGCGAACUGGUUCACUUGAGUAUGCACAACGUAGGCGGAAUUCGUCGUGUAGCGGUGAAAUGCUUAGAUAUGACGAAGAACUCCGAUUGCGAAGGCAGCUGACGGGAGCGCAACUGACGCUUAAGCUCGAAGGUGCGGGUAUCGAACAGGAUUAGAUACCCUGGUAGUCCGCACAGUAAACGAUGGAUGCCCGCUGUUGGUACCUGGUAUCAGCGGCUAAGCGAAAGCAUUAAGCAUCCCACCUGGGGAGUACGCCGGCAACGGUGAAACUCAAAGGAAUUGACGGGGGCCCG
rnacentral:rRNA from 1 species